rnacentral:lncRNA from 1 species
GUAUGUCAUAUGGGGUCCCUGGUCUUAUGAAAAUAUUACUAGAGAUAAGACCAUGGUGUCUUGUGUAUGUCAUAUAGGGUCCCUGGUCUUAUGAAAAAAUUACUAAAGAUAAGACCAUGGGGUCUUGUGCAUGUCAUAUAGGGUCCCUGGUCUUAUGAAAAUAUUACUAGAGAUAAGACCAUGGUGUCUUGUGUAUGUCAUAUAAGGUCCCUGGUCUUUGAAAAUAUUACUAAAGAUAAGACCUUGGUGUCUUGUGUAUGUCAUAUGGGGUCCCUGGUCUUAUGAAAAUAUUACUAGAGAUAAGACCGCGGUGUCUUGUGUAUGUAAUAUAGGGUCCCUGGUCUUUGAAAAUAUUUCUAGAGAUACGACCUUGGUGUCUUGUGUAUG